GGUGGAUCUGCUGAUCAGUAGCUUUCUUCCAGAUAUCAUGCUUCCCCUACACCCAUCCAGUCCAGGUUCUCCUCUGGCAACCUAAGCCCAUUUCAGGUGGGCACAGAAAUCCAGCCCAGGUUAUCUGGAUAGCCCUGGGCUGCCCCAGGGAUUGAGACCAGACCAGAGGUCAUGCGACAUUUUCUUCAAUGAUCUGGAAGUAAACAUAAAAUUGCUGCUGAUAAGAUGUGCAGACCGCGUGAAGCGAUGGGGAAACCGAGGCAAUGAGCAGCAGUGCAACUGCUCCAAGUUAGAAGCACAAUCUGGAGUAGAACCCAGGAGGCCUGUACUUUGAGUGGUGUCCGCAGCUUUUGGGACCUGCCCUCAUCUCCCUUCACCCCGGGGACUCCGGUGAGAGCAGAGCUGGUUCUGUGGAACAAGGUUUGCUCCUGGGAAGCUUAUCCAAGUGUAACCGAGGGAUCUCAAGGGGAAGCCUCUGCAGACCACCCAUCAGCAGGAUGUCGGGGUGCUACUGGAGCUUCGCCCAGGAACUGCUCAUUGUGGCACAUUGGGUCCAGGCUUUGUGAAGUGGGCCUCCCCUGCUGUGGAGAGGUUCAUGAAGCUGAUCAUGUUUGACACUGGGCCUCUCUGAAGCGAAAAGCUGGCGCCUUGACCUCUCUGUACCUCCCUGGGCCACCAAGUGCUGUUUGCUAGAGGACUGCCUCCUGAGGGAGGCCACUUAUGAGCCCAGAAAAAUAUGGAGAAGUAACAGGAUGGAUGGGAAGACAGGAAAAGGGACAGCGUGGAGAUGGACUGAUGUGGUGGUCUGAGGGGUGAUGGGAUGGAAGGAGGAGGGGUGAUGGGAUGGAAGAAGGUGUGCUGGGAUGAGGCAGACUGGAGUCUGUCUAAAUAACAGUAUACCUGACGUCUCUGUGUGGCCUACGGCUCUUUCUCUGAGGGGUUUCCCUCUCCCACUGGAGUGGGAGCGAGGUGCUGCUUGGGGUGAGAGUUAAUGAUGGCACCAGUUCUGAGACUAACCACAAAAGCAAAACUUUGGACGUGCCGACCGGGCAUUUCCCCACGUUCCAGGGGGCUGCAGAGCUCUCUCCUGGCGAGAUGCCCCUUGCACCAGGCCCAUGCAUCUUGUACGUCCCUCUGAAGCUCUUGGGGGUAGGAAAUGGAGCACGGUCCUCAUGCUGCCCCUCUGUAUGGGGUGAAUUCUCCUUCCCGGGCAGAGCCAGUCUCCUGCCAACCAGACUGGCAGUGCCCAGUCUAAGCUUCCACAACAUGCUAAUCCAGGGCUCAGCCUCCUGCGCAGGUGCUUCCUGAUUUCCUAUCCCUGCUUUACAGCGGCUUCGGUUAAAUUAAUUGGCAAUUACCAAAGGUCCAUAAAAAAAACCAGACAAGUGUUUCCUUGGAAAGGAGGCUGCGUCCUCAGCCAUAUUUCCUUCAUCCCUCAUUGAUCCCUCAGCCUCCUCCAGUCACUUAGCAGCCUCUGGGAGGUGUGAUUAUUCCGUCCCUGACAAACACCUAUUUAUCUGGGGGCAGCUGCUGUAAAGACUUGGGGACGUAGGGUAAUGUAGGCACCUUCCCCAGCAUCCGCUAUUCAUCCUGCGGAUGGAGAGUUCUUCACUCUCUCUCAUCUGCUGCCAUAGCUCAUUAGGGGUCUUUGCUCGCUCUUUAGAUGGGUGCCUGAGGUGAGGAGCUGGCUGGGCUUGGAAAUUCAUCUGCAUUGUUUCUCCAAGGAGUAGCAUAGUUUGCAUUACAGACAUUUCUAGAGGGUAAAACUGAGUGGAUAAGACACGGGGGAAGGACUUAGCAGACCUGGAUGCUAUUCCCUGUUUGACCUUAAGCAAGACUCUUCUCAUCUCUGUUCCUCAGUUUCCUAUCUGUAGAGUGGGGCUAAUAAUCCUUUGUCUUGUCUAGUUACACUGUGAGCUCUUUGGGGCAGGACCAUCUCGUGCUAUGUGUCACAGCAGGAUCCUGACCUUGAUUGGGGUAGCUAGAUGUUAGUGUACAAGAAAUGAGGUGGCAGACUCAUCCUUUAGAUCAUUUGAAACUGGUCGGAGCUAACAAUCCUGCGCUGGCCCUCCAGGAGAUGGGGCCUGGACUAGAUUAGAUGGGAGCUAACAGCUCUCUUUGCACCUGUAAUUUAAAAGGAAUGGUCCUGGUCACUCUGGAGUUAUCCCCAGCCCUGCUGCAACUCAGAUAGGGAUGGUGGGCCCUGCCUCUGGGUCACUGUAUUUUCACAGCAGGAGACAAGGGAAGGUCCCAGCUUGGGCUGGCUGUAUCCCUUUAAGAAGCAUGUGGGCUCCUGAGAAUCCCAUCCUCUUCCCAGCAACUUGCCAGCAGGAUGACUUGCGAUGGCUUGGCAGACCUUGCGAUCCUGAGACAGGUGGCCUUGGCAGACUCUGCUAGAUGGCCAGAUUGAUUCUUCCUGGUGUCGCUUUCCCUCCCAUCUUUCUUCCCUUCCACCAGGUGUUUCUGAGCCAUGUAGGCAGACUGUACCGUAGUGAUUGGCAAGGGUAAAGGAAGCUUUACAGCACCCCUUAGAAUGCUCUCCCCAAUUCAUAACCUCCUGCUCUCCCCUGGAAAGGGAGACCGACAUUCCUCUGACAAUGUGAAAGGAGCUCUGCUCUCCUGAAGAUCUAUACCUCCUGAUUGCCGGAGCCCCACGGUUACCAAUCAGUGGAGCUGAAGUCGGAUAAGAUCGGGGCCCAGGACUGAUGAGAGAACAUUAAGUAGUGCUCUGAUUGAUAUGUGGAUAGCUGGUAAUCCAUGCAAUCAGCUCUUUGGGAAUCAAUUAAGGGGAGUGAGGUCAGCACUGGAAAUAGAACGGUUGUUAAUCAGCGAGGCUGCAGCAGGGCGGGGGAUAACCAGGGGAUCCGGUGCCACAUCCCUCUGUAUGAAGGGCACAAGCAAAGGGAAUUAGUGGUGCGAGACAUCCAGCGGUAUUGGGGUUAAAGAAACAAGUCUGGUUGCUGUUGCUAAGAUGCCUUUUGCCAUAUGCAUUGAUUCUGGAAGAAGUUAGGAAAUCCCUCCACGCUUGCUACAAGCAGGUCAGCUAAAACAAGGAGUUGCACCCAAAUGCAGGAAUGAGCUCCUCUCCCAAGCCCUGGUUAGAGGUACACAAGCACACAGACAUAGGAGCUACCAGACUGGAUCAGAGCAGGACUCCAUCUAAUCCAGAAUCCUGUCUCUGAGAGUGGCCAGCCCCAGCUGCUUCAGACGAAUCGUGAAGAAACCUCACCUAAUAGACAGUUCUGGAAUAACCUGGCCAGAGGGGCAAUUUCUUUCUGACCUCUGCCAGUCAGUGGCUGCCUCUUGCCCUGAAGCAGGAAGGUUUAUG